rnacentral:lncRNA from 1 species
AAAACUAUGUAAAGCAAUAGCAAACUACCUAAGUGAAUCAGGGGUAAACAAGGUAAUGGGAUAAACAAUCUAGGGUAACCUAUCGGGUCCCAUCAAAAUUAACCUAUGCAUGAAUAAGUGAUAUUAAAGAACAUUAUUGGGUAAAAAGUGGUCAAGGGCACAACUUGCCUUCAAUGAGCUCCUGCUCAGCUACUCCAACCUGCUGCUCACCAGGAUCCUCAGCAACGGGCUCUUCUACUCGCCACAAUACAAACAAGCACAGUGCAUAUAGAGAAAAUUAACAUCACACCAAACAUACAAACAAAAUACACAGUAAUAAUCUAGACAUUAAAAUAAAAUUCUAGGAAUAGGAAUCAUAAUUUUUGGAGUUAUAGAUUUUAAGUUAUGAAUUUUCGAAGGUUUUAUGUGUUUUAAAUAGGAUUAAGUGAAGAAUAAAUUUUUCUUACUGUUUUCAUGACAAAACAGAGACUCUAGGUGUUAGAGAAUAAAAUUACAAAAUUUUAGGAGCUGGAAUGGAGUAAUUUGGAGUUCAUAUGCAUUUUCUAUGAAUUAUUGAAGUUCUAGCAUAUAUUUUUGUAUUUAAAAAUCAAUUUUCUAACUCAUUUAUUCAUUUAACAAGGCACUGGACUGGGCCUCAAAAUAUGAGAACAGCAGGGGGCUCGGGACAAAAAUCCCCAAGGCACAGAGACCAGUCGUGCAGGACGGCGGGUUGGUUUCUCAGAAGCCUAGGGUUUCUUUAGCAAAAUGUACCCGCGAAGGGGUAUCGAGGGUGCUCAGCCGUUGGAUCAGAAUUCAGCCGACCAGAUUAGACUGGCAGCGCGCAUAAACCAGCACAGGGCCCCAGCCGUUCGAUCUUAGAUCUAUGGUGCAGAAUUAUCCGUACGCGCGCUAUAAUCUAAGCCGCUAGAUCUCGAUCAAACGCUCCUCUGCUCUUCCACCCAAUCGGUAAGCCAUCAUCUAAUCUAGACCGUCGCUAUGGAUAUCAACGGUUCGCAGAGACCCGACGACCGCGCCUCCCCCCCGAGCACAUCGCGCGCGACGGCGCCAGAGCAGCCGCGGCGGCGCCAUGGUCAGCAUUGCCCAAACACCGCACCCGAGCACUAAAUGCCCAACCGAGACGCACCACCCAAGAAGAAGGACUUAGCGAUCACAGGAAAGGAACUCAUACCGUCUCUUGCGCUAUGUUGUGCCCUGGCCACGGAGGAGGUGCGGCCCGCGGCGGACCAAUCUCGACGGUGAGCAAUUCCCGACAGCACGAGACCACGCACACCCGAAUUCCUUCCUUAACGUAAUAAGCGCCACCUCAAGAACGACCGGGACUGGGCUAUCGGGGUAGAGAAGUAGCGGUGACGCGAUUUGAUGACAGCGGCGGGGGACUCCGGUGUUCUUCUCGGGAGGUGUCUAGACAGCGAUGGGCGAGGGAGGAGCACGAGGUCUCGGUUCCCUUUUGUAGCCCAGGCGAGUCGGAGUUAUAGUCAUGCGGGUCAAAACGGUGCAACGACGAGGCCGAACGUGGCGGAGAUCCUCCGGCAAACGCGGCGGCGGACCUGGGCGUACCGCGCGAGCAUGAGGGAGAUGUGAGCUGUCGGAGUUCCGGGCCCACGCGUCAUCGGCGCCGCGGGGUGGAGUUGGGGCCGCACGUGAGUGACUGGCAGCACGGGCCCACUGGUCGACGCCAGUCUCCUGAAGUUGGGUCGCGCGUGAGGGGUUCUCCUAGUGGGCCAAAUUGCGUGUAGUUGGCCUAAUAGCGCACAACACUGAUUUUCUUUUAUAAUUCCAUUUUUCUUCAUUUGUCUUCUUUUUAUUUUGAAUUCAAAAUUUGAAUUUGGAUCUUUUUAGGAGUUGCAUAUUUGAGUCCAAUGUACACCCUAAAACCUAUUGCAGAGAUAAUAUAUUUUUUUAUAUCUUUUAUACUCAUUUUACUCCCUUCUAGGAUUUCUUUUAAAUUCUAAAAUUCCACUUUGGAAUUUUAUUAUUUUUUUGUCAUAUUAUCUUUAUGUUGUCACAAAAUACACACAAAAAUGAAAACCAGCAUGAUACAUAUUUUAGUGGAUUUUUUUGUUAUGAAUUAUUUGCCUUUACAUAGGGUGUUCACAUGUGAUGAUGCAUAAAGGUCAAACUCAUAUAAGUGAAGUGAAAUUGUGUCCCCUUUUAUAUUAUCUCUUACCAAUUACAAAUUGGGUAUUACAGAUUGUGUUUGCAGUGACUGACGUUGCUCCUUAUAAAGCUGUGGGUGUGGCUGGUGCUGGUUCCUCCAGGAGUUCGGGGGCCGGCAGAUGGAGACAUGGAGUCAAGGCGGUCGGUGAUGCAAUGCGUGCUCAAGUUCAGCGGUGGCGUCUGGGAAUCCUCAAUGGCUGGGCAAAAAACCCGUAACCCGAAACCCGAACCCGGAAUACCCGAACCCGAACCCGAAAUACCCGAAGCCCGAAUUUUGUUCGGGAAUUUCGGGUAGCAACUUGCAAAACCCGAAUUUAUUUCGGAUAAUUCGGGUAUCACAAUCGGGUACCCGAAAUACCCGAAUUACCCGAACUUUCAUGUGUCAUGUACUCAUGUCAUAAUUAAUUAUUAAUUUAUACAUUUAUAAUUAUGUGUAAGUGUUCAUAACUUGUGAUUGUAGAUUGCUUAUCAUUAUUCAAACUAUAUUUUGUUACUAAUUUAAUAUGGUGUAUGUGUUUUUAUGAAGCAAACACAAUUGUUUGGGUAGUUCGGGAAUACCCGAACCCGAACCCGAAAAUUUUUGGGUAUUGUAAAACCCGUUGUAAUUUCAGAUAUCAAUUCUUAAAACUCGAAAUUUUAAAUACCCGAAUUACCCGACCCGAAAUUUUCGGGUAACCCGAACUCCCACCACCCGUCCCCGCGAGUCAUGUGACGGCGAGGCACCCCGCACCCCGCACUGACGAAAACGACCAUGACGCACCAAGAGCGGGGAGCGAGCGUCGUUAGCUUUGGCCUGGCAGCCCAAUCCCGUCCAGUCCGGCUCAGCGGCCCACCACCACCUACUCUCCCUCGCGUGCGUGGGCUUCCCUGUCUACGGCUGGCCUGGGCUACCUCCGCCGCCGCCCUAUACCAGGAGCCGACGAGGUCUCUCUCCGGCUUCGCGCACUUCGCCGGCGACCACUCACGCUCAGAGAUGUUCUUGCCUUUUAGGCCAAAGCUCGUGUUCGUAGUUUGAUCAUGGGCAUCCUGUGCAGUGAAUGUAUGUAAUUAGCUAUUUCAAGAAGGAGAUCUUAAUGUAAUUAGCUACAGCAGAGCUCAUCUUGCAGGCCCCCGAACAGAAAGAAGCUAACCAUGGGGGGUCAUAUUAUGGGCAUGGUGAGUGACAGAACGAAACGAGAUUUGAGGAAGAAGGAAAGAGGAGACUGGAGGAAGAAGGAAAGAGGAGAUUUGCACAGGGAACCACAAUUUAUGUAGCAGCAGAUUGCCAACACUGAAACCCAGCAUACCAAGGCACAGACAGGGAAGCUGAAUUGCGAUGUGCGUCUUUAGAAAGAGGCAAAGUGAAUCAUCUACAGUACCUGAGAUGUCGAGAUCCACGAGGUCAGCAGGCGGGGGGGCAUUGACAACCUCAUCCUGGAAACGGAUGCUUUACAGGUCAAAAAGGCUUUCUACUCGCCAUGAUUACGCCGCGUUGGUUCCAAUGCGAUUAUGUCCCUAGAGACUAUAAAUAAUAAUAUAGUGGCUCAUGAAUAGCUGCUUGCGAGUAUGAAUGUGAGCAAGUUAUGCGCUCGCUC